rnacentral:sRNA from 1 species
AAAAAACAAUACCGCAAAUACGACAAAAGAGCAUAAAAUUAAUGACAUUAACGAAAUGAGAACGCUCCGAUGGUAAAAGUCACGACGAAAAUUUUGAUGUUGCCACGAGGAAACUUUUGAUGUUGCCACGAGUGAACAGCGAUCUGAAAUCAACUCUCAAACUUUAGAAAAAACGGUGCUUACACUCUAACAAGACUACUUGCAAUGGAGGUGUUGAAUAAUUAUUCAACUGUUUAAUUAAUAGAAAGGGGGUGUUGAAAACUGAAAAAACCAACGUGGAUUUUAGGGUGUUGAAUCUGUAUAACAUGUUGAAUUAUUAUUUUUUGGGCUCAUGUAUGCCACAUGUCACUAUUUUAUUAGAUGGUGUGUUUCACACACUCAAAACGAAAAUAGAGGGUUUUCUAUUAUUAUUUUUCCGAUAAAAAUAAUAAAUUAUUGUGAAGCUGACACUGGUUAUAUUAUUAUUUGAGAUUUUAGAGAUUUUUAUCUCAGGCCUAUCUAUCUACAAUCAAUUAUUAUGUAGCAAAUAGUUUUAAAAAA